UCGCGCGCCCAUAAAGAGGAAAGUCCGGGCAACACAGGGCACCGCAUUUCCUAACGGGAAGCCGGCGGCGACGUCGGGGACAAUGUGACAGAAAACAACCGCCCUUCCGCUGCGGCGGAAAGGCAAGGGUGAAAAGGCGGGGUAAGAGCCCACCGGCCGGCAUGGCGACAUGCCGGGCCGCACAUCCUGCGGGUUGCAAGGUCAAGUAUACCGGCAGCAAAGGGUUGCCCGCCCAUUGCCGGGGGGUAGGCCGCUAUAGCGCGCCGGGCAACCGGCCGCAAAGAUAAAUGACAGACGCACGGGACUCGAGACCGUGGCACAUAACCCGGCUUACAUCAU
rnacentral:RNase_P_RNA from 1 species